GCAGGAGAGGACUUGGAACCAUGAGGAGAGAUGAACCAGACCUGAGAUGACUAAAAUAACAUGACAUGCUGAAUAGUUUCAUGUCAACUUCAAGUCAUCUGAGAGGAAGUAACCUCAACUAAGAAAAUGCCUCCAUAGUUCCAGCUGGGAGAUGGGAAAUACCUUGUAAGAGGGAUUAUCAGCAGCUGCAGGCAACCUUGAACACUUGAUCCUCCUGCCACUACCUCCCAAAUGCUAGGAGUGACCUUCUAUGUUUAGCUUUUCAAUCUAUUAAAGAUUAAUAGUUAGCAAAUGUUCUUCGCACUGCUGCCCGGCUAUCGAGAAGCAAUCUGCUAGGCAAGGUUAAAUUUCAAUGAACUAUCCUCUUGGAUACGGCACUUGUUAUGCCAGCGUCACAUGGUUAAUUAUUGGCGCUACAGCAUGUUUCAACAUCACUUACCUCUU